CUUUGUCUCAGGUCUGUGAUGGCGACUCAAACUCUGUACCUGACACUUUCAUUCAUUGGCUGGUGCUCUACCAACGGAGCCAUGCCUCCAAUCCCU